UAUUAUUAUUAUUAUUAUUUACUUCAUAGUUACCUUAGGGCAUGUGAAAUCAUUGUAGAUGUUUUUGUUGUGUAAUUGUCAUGUAAUGUGACUGAAUGAGAGUUGAAUGGGCAUUCUGAUUUAACCAGUAAAAAACUUCCUCCAGGAUACGGAUAUACACAAACUCAAGGAGGGGGUUGUAAAGUAAAACGAAAUUCAAAGACAUUACCAAUACAUUGUCAUUUAAAAGACCUCCACCACCCCAAGAUGGCACCUUUCCUGCAGAGUCAAAUAUAUCAAGUCAAAACAAUUAAAAUAUCAAAGUAUUUGAAACGUUGCUAAUCAAAUUCCACUCCUGUUGCCCAUUGAUUGUAUAAUCUUUCUUAUUGUCCUUCCUCCUAUCUCACCAUAAUCUUAAUCAAUUAAAUUAAGAAGAGAGAGAAACCUCAAAAGUGAUGAUUCAGAAAAGUAAAGGGAAAAGUUAAUAAAGUCAACGUGAUUUAGAGAUUAGUGAAUGUAAAGGAUUACCAAAGGGCUGCACCAACUGCUGAGAUAUUGCAGCAAGAGGAGUCCUCCAAAACCAGCAAAU
rnacentral:misc_RNA from 1 species